rnacentral:snoRNA from 1 species
AAGACUUUACUUCAUAGGAUCAUUUCUAUAGUAAGCUCUUCACGAGAUCCACAUAACAUGUGAGAUCGUGCCAGCCGCGAUGAGGAGAUGUGGCGCGGCGCCCUGAGCGUGAGGCGGGCGCGGCUUCGGCCGACAGCCCUCGAUGAUCGUUCACUCCACCACUAGUGGUGGAGCGUGGGGCGUUGUCGCUGUCUGAGCGGC